AACCCCACUGAAUGAGAAAUACUGCUCUACAUCAUCCUUCCUAUCCUAGGAUUCAAGCAAUCUGUGAAAUCAGCAUUUGUGAAAGAUGAAGAUUGCCAGGCCCGGAAAGUAAAACCCUCUACAAAAUAGGCUUAGCAUAAGCAGGAAUAGAGCAAGUCUUUCACCAUCAUUCUGCCCAUACCCUCCAUCCUUAACUGCAGAGCCAGAAAAGCACCUGAUUAGUGGAAAUGCCAUGAGAUGACUGGGUCUCACGUUCUUUCAGCGCUAUAAACUGUCCCUUAGGCAAAAGUGAAACCUUCUCCAACACUGAAUGCAACCCAAAUACAACAGCACUGUGCUGGUUUAUGAGGACGCCCUGCACUGAGGUGGUCAUAGGACUGCUUAACCUUUGGGGGAGUCAGGAUUAUUCUUGCUUGUGGCAUAGUAGCUUUAUCUUAGCUGUCCCGAUCUGGCAACUUAAUUGUAAAUAGUUAUCCCACCUGUGAAAGGGCCUAGAAAAACUAGAGAAAGGACCCAGGAAAAAGGAGGCAAGAAUGUCCCACUUAGGAUUGCCAGGUAUCUGGUAUUCAACCAGACAGUCCAUUUUCUGCGCCCUCUGUCCAGUAAAAAAAAUUCAGAAAAUACUGAACAUAUGCAAUGUCCGGUAUUUUCUGCUUUUCUGGCUGGGCGCCCGACGGAAGCCUGUCAAGGGUGGGGGGGAGGUGGCUGGGGAGGCAGGGCUGCGAUCAGUUCUAGGAAGCAUAUAAUCCACUUCUCGUCCACAGAUUUUCAGGCAUAUAAUCCACUUCUUGUCAUGGCCAGAAUAUGGGCCAGGCUUGAAUCCCCGUUUACUCCCCUCCACAGCUGAAUAAAGGCUCUGAGAGGCUAGCUCAGCCUGGCAAUAGGGUUGCCAGGUGGGAACCUGCGUGCUGGGAGGUUCAUGUCAUCAGAAUAUAUGGUGUAAACUGUUGAUUGUUUAUAAUAAAGUCCCCAUUCAGUGUUAAGCAUAGUUGUGAUGGAGUUUUUUUUGUUUGUUUUUUGUUUUGUUUUUUUUGCUCGACAGAUUUUUAGCACGUGUGUUUGGUAUUUUGGGGGAAACCCUAG